CUGCAUUCCCCUACUACAUAUAGAAGCACGCUGCUGUUUUGUUCCUGCUGGAUUUGCUUUCGUUUCUUUUUCUUUAUAUUUUUGCUGUGUUUUCAUUUUGUCCUGGGUGAUUUAGCGCGGCCCGAUUUUGGAGUUGUUGGUUAAAACCUGCUCCUACUGUGACUGUAUUUAAAGAUCUUUUCCUCGUACGUUGGGAAAUAACGAGUUCGAGGGCCGCGCUCAUUCAGAUUAUCUAUUUCUUUAUUUUCCCUUUGUGGUGUUUCUCAUUUUGGACUGAUUCAGAAUGCUGAGAUUUUCUCUUGGACAUUGUUGUCUUUAAAUUUCUUUUCCUUUUCCUUUUGUGUUAUUAUCUAGCUGUUUAAGCUAGAAUUUAUUUCUUUUCUUUAUGUUGGAAGGGUUUCUUUUGCUCCCCUGCAUUUAAUAAGUUUUCAUUGAUUAAUUUCUAUUGAUUUGAUUUAUUUUGUUUUGUAUCACAAUUACAGGAGCUGUGUGUCCGACGGCAGUGAGGCUUUCCUUCACCGUGUGCUGUGUUAUGCUGUGUGAGCACCACUGAUAAAAUCACGGGAACAAGACAGCAGCGUGGUCUCUUUGGCCAUCUCCCCUGAUUGUGUUUCAGGUCCAAAUUUUCUUUCUGCCCCGCCUUGCUUGGUGGAGCUGUGUGUCCGACGGCAGUGAGGCUUUCCUUCACCGUGUGCUGUGUUAUGCUGUGUGAGCACCACUGAUAAAAUCACGGGUAUUGGAGUGAGUGUGUGUGUGUGUGUGUGUGCGUGUGUGCACUUAGUGUGAUUCUCCUCUUUUGCUCCCUCUCUUAGCCCAUCUGAUGCCAAUAGGCUACAGCUCUGAAUUAACUGUGAAUCCUUAUUGUGGAUUGUGAUUUCCAGCUUUAGUAAUUGGCUGGGUGACUACUUUUAUUUCUGCAUUUUAAACUUUUGUACAAAUAAACAAAUUCUAUUUUGCUA